rnacentral:sRNA from 1 species
UCGUAACAAGGUUUCCGUAGGUGAACCUGCGGAAGGAUCAUUACCGAGUGCGGGCCCUCGCGGCCCAACCUCCCACCCUUGUCUCUAUACACCUGUUGCUUUGGCGGGCCCACCGGGGCCACCUGGUCGCCGGGGGACGCACGUCUCCGGGCCCGCGCCCGCCGAAGCGCUCUGUGAACCCUGAUGAAGAUGGGCUGUCUGAGUACUGUGAAAAUUGUCAAAACUUUCAACAAUGGAUCUCUUGGUUCCGGCAUCGAUGAAGAACGCAGCGAAAUGCGAUAAGUAAUGUGAAUUGCAGAAUUCCGUGAAUCAUCGAAUCUUUGAACGCACAUUGCGCCCCCUGGCAUUCCGGGGGGCAUGCCUGUCCGAGCGUCAUUUCUGCCCUCAAGCACGGCUUGUGUGUUGGGUGUGGUCCCCCCGGGGACCUGCCCGAAAGGCAGCGGCGACGUCCGUCUGGUCCUCGAGCGUAUGGGGCUCUGUCACUCGCUCGGGAAGGACCUGCGGGGGUUGGUCACCACCAUGUUUUACCACGGUUGACCUCGGAUCAGGUAGGAGUUACCCGCUGAACUUAAGCAUAUCAAUAAGCGGAGG